AUACGUAGGUGGCAAGCGUUGUCCGGAUUUAUUGGGCGUAAAGCGAGCGCAGGCGGUCUCUUAAGUCUGAUGUGAAAGCCCCCGGCUCAACCGGGGAGGGUCAUUGGAAACUGGGAGACUUGAGUGCAGAAGAGGAGAGUGGAAUUCCAUGUGUAGCGGUGAAAUGCGUAGAUAUAUGGAGGAACACCAGUGGCGAAGGCGGCUCUCUGGUCUGUAACUGACGCUGAGGCUCGAAAGCGUGGGGAGCAAACAGGAUUAGAUACCCUGGUAGUCCACGCCGUAAACGAUAAGUGCUAAGUGUUGGAGGGUUUCCGCCCUUCAGUGCUGCAGCUAACGCGUUAAGCACUCCGCCUGGGGAGUACGGCCGCAAGGCUGAAACUCAAAGGAAUUGACGGGG
rnacentral:rRNA from 1 species